GACGAACGCUGGCGGCGUGCUUAACACAUGCAAGUCGAACGGAAAGGCCCUGCUUUUGUGGGGUGCUCGAGUGGCGAACGGGUGAGUAACACGUGAGUAACCUGCCCUUGACUUUGGGAUAACUUCAGGAAACUGGGGCUAAUACCGGAUAGGAGCUCCUGCUGCAUGGUGGGGUUGGGAAAGUUUCGGCGGUUGGGGUUGGAUUCGCGGCUUAUCAGCUUGUUGGUGGGGUAGUGGCUUACGAAGGCUUUGACGGGUAGCCGGCCUGAGAGGGUGACCGGCCACAUUGGGACUGAGAUACGGCCCAGACUCCUACGGGAGGCAGCAGUGGGGAAUAUUGCACAAUGGGCGGAAGCCUGAGGCAGCAACGCCGCGUGCGGGAUGACGGCCUUCGGGUGGUAAACCGCUUUCGCCUGUGACGAAGCGUGAGUGACGGUAAUGGGUAAAGAAGCACCGGCUAACUACGUG
rnacentral:rRNA from 1 species